GGGUAUGGAUCCAUGAAUAUUAGGGAGGAAAAAAUCAAGUGAAACUUGCAAAGUUGCCCCAGACUUUGGAUUAUGGAUUGAUGAAAAACUCGUGUGAGACUCACAAAGUUGCCCUGAUUUUUCUUUGGCAAAGGGGUUUUGUUUGGAAGAGGUAGUGGGCAUGAAAAGGAUAGGCUAAAAGGAUGGCCCCAACUGGUUUGGUUUUCUUUUGCAUGUUUCUGGCUUAUUGGCAGGGAGAUCCCCUCUUCUUGAGACAUUACCUUUUUCUUUCUUCUUCUUUUUUUAAUUUUUUUUUUACAGUGUGAAAGUCGCCUUAUCACAAAGUUAAACUUUAUGAAAAUUUGAGCAAUCAUUAUCCAAUCUUUGUGGACUUUAUUAGGCUUGUAACAUGGCUAAGGGCUAAACGGUAUUAAAAAAAGAUAUAAAGUCCCAAAUGAAUGUUUGUCGAUUAUAUUUUUUUGAAACAAAG
rnacentral:lncRNA from 1 species